GCUUAGCCCUAAACAUAAAUAUUUAAUUAACAAAACUAUUCGCCAGAGUACUACUAGCCAUUGCUUAAAACUCAAAGGACUUGGCGGUGCUUUACAUCCCUCUAGAGGAGCCUGUUCUAUAUCGAUAAACCCCGUUUUACCUCACCACCUUUUGCAAUGUCAGCCUAUAUCCGCCAUCUUCAGCAAACCCUAAUAAGGCAAUAAAGUAAGCACAAAAAUGUCACAUAAAAACGUUAGGUCAAGGUGUAGCCAAUAAGGUGGAAAGAAAUGGGCUACAUUUUCUAGCCCCCUAGAACAACAAAUCAACGACAGCUUCCAUGAAACUUCAAGCCCAAGGUGGAUUUAGUAGUAAGCUAAGAAUAGAGAGCUUAGCUGAAUCGGGCAAUAAAGC
rnacentral:rRNA from 1 species